rnacentral:rRNA from 1 species
UACGGGGGGGGCAAGCGUUGUUCGGAAUUACUGGGCGUAAAGGGCUCGUAGGUGGCCAACUAAGUCAGACGUGAAAUCCCUCGGCUUAACCGGGGAACUGCGUCUGAUACUGGAUGGCUUGAGGUUGGGAGAGGGAUGCGGAAUUCCAGGUGUAGCGGUGAAAUGCGUAGAUAUCUGGAGGAACACCGGUGGCGAAGGCGGCAUCCUGGACCAAUUCUGACGCUGAGGAGCGAAAGCCAGGGGAGAAAACGGG